CGAAGCGGGGCGGUCUACUAGUUCGGCCGAAGAGCAAGUCUUGCUGGGUAUAUUUAUAGCGGACAGGGGGGCAAUAUGGUGUGAGCGACCCAUUGUCGCUGUGGGGAAACCACCCAGAACUGAGGGCGAGUGAACGGAUACACUGCAGUACCACGCAUGAGGUGAGCGGGGAGAUCUUUGGUGUGUUGGAAGGGACGCAUUUGAGUAUCAACGUCUGGGCGGUUCAAUGUAGACGUAACGGUCUUACCGCGGAUAGCCAUCCUCAUGAGUUUACCCGUGUCCCAGGAGACCACAAACACGACCAAUACUCCUACGAGGAGCAGAGGAGGACAAUGUAGCACACUGUGACACAGGGGUGAUGCAUCAGCAUCCGCGUGAGGGAUAAGCCGCCUUGCUGGUCGUACACCUCGUUCAGAGAAGAAAAAACGAAAGAUGCGGUUCCUGGUAAUGAAGCACCUGCUAACUACAUGCCCACAACCACGGUUAUACUUAUGGCGCACUCUUUAUCCGGAAUUACUGGCCGUAAAAAACUCGUAUGCAAUUUAUCGCGGCUGCUAUGGAGAACCAGGGCUCAACUCCAGAUCGGCAGAGUGUACAGGCAAACCAAUAUGCAACAGUGGAGACUGUUAUUCCUGGUGUAGCAAUAAAAUGCUCAAAUACCAGGAGGAACACCGAUGGCGAAGGAAAGUCUCUAGGCUGUAAACUGACGCUAGAUGAUCAAAAGCAUGUGGAGCGAGCAUGAUUAUAUACCCGUGGGAGGCCAUGCCUUAGACGGUUGGUCACUGUGUGUCGGGGGAAAAUUCCACAUUGUUCCGCGCCUGUAACUAACUCUAUA
rnacentral:rRNA from 1 species